rnacentral:rRNA from 1 species
UACGGGGGGAGCAAGCGUUGCUCGGAAUUACUGGGCGUAAAGCGCGUGUAGGUGGAUUGGUGUGUCAGAUGUGAAAUCCCUGGGCUCAACCCAGGAACUGCACCUGAAACUACCAGUCUUGAGUGGUGGAGAGGGAAGUGGAAUUCCUGGUGUAGAGGUGAAAUUCGUAGAUAUCAGGAGGAACACCAGUGGCGAAGGCGGCUUCCUGGACACCAACUGACGCUGAGACGCGAAAGCGUGGGGAGCAAACAGG